CAGAAGGGUCGCUGACGUCACGUGGGCGGAGCCUAAGGCCCCUGAGAUAAGCAGCGUGUGAGCCGCAGGCGGACAGUGACACAGACACACACAAUGAUGGCCAGCAACGCGAGCGGAGCACACGACUGGACGCAGGUUGUCAGCGCGCUGCCCUGGAUCCAUGUGACCACCGCGUUCAUCAGCGGGCUAGGCUCCGUCUCCGUGCUCACCUGGGUGACGUCGCAGUGGCGUCUGGGCGGGGCGGCCUCCGAGCUGCGGCCGCUCCUGCUGCUGGCCGCGUCCGACCUGCUGCUCUCCCUCUGUGGUCUGCUAGGGGGCGCGCUACUCGCCGGGCAGGCCGAGGACGGAGCCUGGUACGCGCUCAGCGCCGCCACUCAGGUGGUGGGCAUGAUGUCCUUUUUCUACACACUGGACUACGUGUGGAACGCCUACGCUCGGCUGCGGCUCAACUUCAGAUGUGUCCGUCACCAACUUCCUGCUGAGAUUGUCAAGCACCCAAUACCUAGCGCUAACCUGACGGCGUCGCUUUCUGGCGUCCUGCCGCUUCUCCUCAUGGCUCCCGUCUUGGCGAGAGCCCGCAUCGAUGGCUGCGGGGCCGGCUGCGGCGACGCUGACAGAUGUCUGCUGACGCUCCUCGGAGCGCUUCCCGUCACCGCGGAGACGCCCGUCCCGGCGUGCCGCCUGCUGCGGGCCUACAGCGGCGCAGUAUUCCUCACCGCUUUUUUCAUCACCCUCUUCGGUGUCUCGGUGCUCGUGGGCAAGUGCCGUCAGCUUUACCGGCGUGUGGUGACGUCGCACGGUUACCUGGGCAACCGGCAGCGGGUGUCCUUGCGAGCUCUCGACUUGCGGCUGCUGGCGUAUUCGCUCAUCUUGGUCGUGUGCUGGGGUCCAACGGCGUAUCUGGUGGCCACGGGGUCUCCGUCGGACGUCCUGUACGCCACGCGGGCCGUCACGUCGGCGUCGCCGGGCGUCCUCCGUUUGGCCGCGCUGACGUGCGCGCGAGGCUCGCCGACGCGGGAUUUGUCGUGGCGCGACGCCGACACGCAGACGCCGCUGCUGCGGGCGCAGAGGACGACGACAACGUCGACGAGGCCGACGUGACUCGAGGACGACGAUAAACGUCCGAUUCGUAGAAACGGGAACAGCCGGCACCGAGUGAUCGUGUUUAACUGCCUUUGACGGAACGAUAACUGCCAGCUCUUUCCAAGGUCAAAUGAAUUGGCCGUCUAGCGCCAUAAUGGCCGCCAAUGAGAACUUCCUGUCACGAAGCCAAAACGUGCAAUCCGGAUGAUAUGAGCGUCACGUGCGCCAACUCCGCCAGGACCACCACAAAAGAAGUUCCGUGCAGCGAGCUUCGGAAUGCGGCCAUGUUGCCGCGGCGAACGAGAAAUUAGAGCAAGCUCGGCGCUAAUGAGCACGUGCGCAAACAGCCAAUUGUUCACUCUGGCAUCAUCUUCGGCCCAUCAACAACACUUGCAUGUACGCACGUGUCAGUUUCUACUGUAUCAUCCACUUUGAAAAAAAAAAACAAUUUUGUUUCAGUUCUCGGGAAUCGGUCAGUGACGCCCUCUUGUGGCUAGGCGACUUGACAACGUGAUCAAAUAACGAUGAAAACAUAUAAAUUGACAAUCUCUUUAAAUAUAUGUAUAUAGCCACAUAAACUAGCCCUCCCAGUCCAAAUGGAUUAGACAUCUAUGGCCGCCAACGGCAGCCAGUCAGUUAAAGAGUAAAAAGUAAUGUCAAUUGUAAAAAACACAUUUAUUGAAACGUCAAACACAUCAAAGCAUCAUUCACAAAACAAGCAAACGUGACUUUUUGGAAACGAGUUCUCUCGGGGCCCGUCGGACAAGCGUUUAAGCGUCGAAGUGGGCGGAGCUACUGGCGCUGACGCCGCCCACGGCGGGAAGGUAGGAAAGGUGGAGGAUCGGAAGCUGCAGCGACAAACGCCGACGCACACUGUAAAAAAAAAAUGGGAUAGACAACAGAAAGUUGCGGCGUGUGAAAAGACGUUGAACAGGAAGCGAUGUGCACCUCCAUCAGGGCAGACUCAGUGAACAUUCAUCUAAGUCCAGUUCACUUGCCACAUCAAGCAUGGUGGACACACGGCCCAAGGGAGCUCAGUUGGCUUGUCACAUCCAAUAUGGCGGACACAAUGACCGGUCACUCGAGAGCCCUGUUGACUUGCCACAUCCAAUAUGGCAGACAUACUGACUGUUCAUCUAAAUUCAGUGGACUUGCCACAUCAAGUGUGGCUGAAAACGGGAAUUUGUUCGACUUGCCACAUCCAAUGUGGAGGACACAGUGACCGAUUGUCUAAUGGUGCCUUCACCAGUGUUGUCACAGAUUACUUUAAGUAAUUUAACAAUGAAUACGCCUCAAAAAGUAAUCCAGUGACUUUACAGAUGACUUUUUUUUUUUUAAUCAAAGUAAGGUAUGAAGAAAUCUGACCUUCUAGCCAGAUUGCCGGAAUCACACCAGCCGAACCGCUGGACCCGCGCUGGCACAGCUCCAACGACCUGGGCCGGCUGAACCCCAACAACACAGCCAAAAGGCCAAGUUUUGCACAUUCACCUUAGUCUUAACUAGGGCUGUCAAAAUUAUCGUGUUGACGGGCGGUAAUUAAUUUUUUUAAUUAAUCAUGUUAAAAUAUUUGACGCAAUUAACGCACAUGCCCUGCUCAAACAAAUUAAAAUGACAGC